rnacentral:lncRNA from 1 species
AUUCAAGCUCCCUCUAUCUGCCACAUGGAGGCCCUCGCCAUCAGCCCUUGAAGGUCCCGAGCGCUCACCCUCGGUCUACCGGAACUGCUCCAGACCCUCCUGUCAGCCCUCUCCUCGAUGAUGAUCGGCACAACCAGAAUUCACUUAGUCAGUGCCUCCCCAAAAGCCUCUCGAAUAAGGUUCUCAUCCCAACUCCGCUCCCCCAAAUGAAAGAGAUCGCUGACUCUGCGGUCCGCUAGCCACACUGGAUCGAGAGAUGGGCCACCCACUCAGCAACAACGUUGU